rnacentral:rRNA from 1 species
CAGUCGCCGCGGUAAUACGGAGGGUGCAAGCGUUAACCGGAAUUACUGGGCGUAAAGCGUGCGUAGGCGGUUCGUUAAGUCUGUUGUGAAAGCCCCGGGCUCAACCUGGGAAUGGCAAUGGAUACUGGCGGGCUAGAGUGUGUCAGAGGAUGGUGGAAUUCCCGGUGUAGCGGUGAAAUGCGUAGAGAUCGGGAGGAACAUCAGUGGCGAAGGCGGCCAUCUGGGACAACACUGACGCUGAGGCACGAAAGCGUGGGGAGCAAACAGGAUUAGAUACCCCGGUAGUCCCUGUCUCUUAUAA